rnacentral:lncRNA from 1 species
CAAAUGGGAUUUCUUUGGUUAGAAGAGAUGUAGACAGUGUGUGCGCUGAUAUUUAUGAGUGGCAGCCAACUUUGAUGAAUUAUCAGAUGCAAGCAUCUGGUAAAGUCAAUAAGCCACUGAGGCCUAAAGCUCAUCUGUCAUGUGGCCCUGGACAGAAAAUCAGAUCAAUCAAGUUUGCCAGCUUUGGGACACCAGAAGGGGUUUGUGGUAGCUAUCGCCAGGGAAGCUGUCAUGCCUUCCACUCUUAUGAUGCUUUUAACAAUGUAUGUAGUCUUGCAUUUGUCUUGCCAUCCCUUUUCUCCUCAAGGAAAACUAAUCAUUUUACCAGUGACAGCUAUGAAAAUGCUGUUUUACAAUUCGUUGGUAAUUUAAAUUCAAGAGACCUAUUUCUUAGCACUGUCCAAUUUUUAAAAUUUUUUUUCCUUUCUAGAAAAGCAGUCCAGACCGAAUAGCUUCUCAUUUAGAUUUACUGAUAAUCUAUCAUACAGAGUAAAACCAGAACUUUCAGUUUAUCCAUUUUUUCCAAAUCGCAAACACUGACGCAGACUUUGUUCUUGCAGCUUUGUGUUGGGCAGAAUUCAUGCUCGGUGACUGUAGCACCUGAAAUGUUUGGGGGAGAUCCUUGCCUGAAUGUCAUGAAGAAACUAGCAGUAGAGGCCAUUUGCAGCUGAUGAGCUACAACGGCUGAAGUAAAUGAAAUAAAGAAGAUCCUGGAUUUUGAUUUUCUCACCCUCCAAUACAGC